rnacentral:lncRNA from 1 species
UCAGAAUUUACAUGAAGAGUUGGAUAAGAAUCAAGUAAUUAACAAUGCAUGGAAAGAUCUUGUAGUCUUAUACAAGCUUCAACAAGGAACAUUUCUUUUAGUUAUUUUUACUAUAAAAAGACAUAGAAUUAGUCAUCAAAUUAUAAGAUUUUUUUGAAAGAACAAUUUCUUAUUUUGUGUAUAGAUGGAUGAAGCUAGGCACAUAGUUCUAAGGCUAGAUCAAAGAGCCAUCUUAAUAUGCCAAGUACAUAAAAAAUUUGGACAUUUUGGAGUGCGUAGGAAAUAUUCUAUAUU